AGUGAACGCUGGCGGUAGGCUUAACACAUGCAAGUCGAACGGAAGCACACUAAGAGCUUGCUCUUACGGGUGGCCAGUCGCGGACGGGUGACGAAUACAUCGGAAUCUACUUUUUCGUGGGGGUUAACGUAGGUAAACUUACGAUAAUAUCGCAUCCGCUCUACGGGUGAAAGCAGGGGAACUUUUGACCUUUCGCGGUUGAAUGAGCCGAUGUUGGAUUAGCUAGUUGGCGGGGUAAAGGCCCACCCAGUCGACGAUACGUAGCUGGUCUGAGAGAAGGAUCAGCCACACUGGAACUGAGACACGGUCCUGACUCCUAAGGUAGGCAGCAGUGUGGAAUAUUGGACAAUAGUGGCGAGUCUGAUACAGCGAUACCGCGUGGGUGAAGAAGGCCUUCGGGUUGUGAAGCCCGUUUGUUGGUAAAGAAAAGCAUCAGGUUAAUACCCCGCUGUUCUGACGGUACCCAAAGAAUAAGCACCGGCUAACUUCGUG
rnacentral:rRNA from 1 species